CGAAGAAAGGAUGGGGCGUGAGUGGGGGUGGAAAAUGGAAUUGCCAGCGAGGGUGGAAUGAAUGGAUGGCGGGUUCCCUUUUGUAACCACGAAUAAUUAAGAUGGAUGUGCGGAUGGAUUAGCUGUCCUGCAAGGUCACGAGCGGAUUGCCGGAUCACUCUAUUAUUCCGCGGCGCUGCAGCCAUCGGGCUAACGCCUUUUUCAUGAUAUUUUGAACAUCCGCACGGAAAAAACCGAGGAAUGCGCGAGAGAUACAAAUGGAUCGUGCAGUGGAGAAAUCCGUCUUCGUCACCGCCGCCGGGGGCCGCCGGGAUUAAUGCGGCUGAAGGCUCCUCUGGGCUCCGCCAGGGAGACGGGCGGAAAAGCAAGAGAAAUUGGAGUCGCACCCAUUGGUAUCCCACCUGAAAAUACACCAAUGUGGCCACAUAUACCACCCCCUCCAGAUGAUUGGACAUUCUCAGAUUCAGAACAAGCUCCUUCUGUUGAUUGUUGGCCUUAUGAUGAAAAUGGCCUUGCCCCGGGCGGUCUCGUCAGGAAUAAAUAG
rnacentral:lncRNA from 1 species